CCUACGGGGGGCAGCAGUGGGGAAUAUUGGACAAUGGGCGAAAGCCUGAUCCAGCCAUGCCGCGUGUGUGAAGAAGGCCUUCGGGUUGUAAAGCACUUUCAGUGGGGAAGAAAGCCUUGGGGCUAAUACCCUCGAGGAAGGACAUCACCCACAGAAGAAGCACCGGCUAACUCCGUGCCAGCAGCCGCGGUAAUACGGAGGGUGCGAGCGUUAAUCGGAAUUACUGGGCGUAAAGCGCGCGUAGGCGGUCUGAUAAGCCGGUUGUGAAAGCCCCGGGCUCAACCUGGGAACGGCAUCCGGAACUGUCAGGCUAGAGUGCAGGAGAGGAAGGUAGAAUUCCCGGUGGAGCGGUGAAAUGCGUAGAGAUCGGGAGGAAUAACAGUGGCGAAGGCGGCCUUCUGGACUGACACUGACGCUGAGGUGCGAAAGCGUGGGUAGCAAACAGGAUUAGAUACCCCAGUAGUC
rnacentral:rRNA from 1 species